CAAGCUCAGCAGAGUUCUCCUCAUCACCACUGCUACUGGUGAACAUACACAGUGGCACAUCAUUUGCCUGGUUCUCUUCUGCCACUGCCCUUCUAAGCUUCCUUAUGGUAAGUGGGCUAUGUGCAAUUUUGGCCAACGCUGCUUCAGGUUGGUUCACUUCAUUCUCUUCUUCCACCAGCACAGGCUCAGCAGAGUUCUCCUCACCACCACUGCUACCGAUGAAUAUGCACAGCGGCGCAUCAUCUGCCUCGUUCUCUUCUGCCACUGCCCUCCUAAGCUU